rnacentral:snRNA from 1 species
AUACCUUUCUCGGCCUUUUGGCUAAGAUCAAGUGUAGUAUCUGUUCUUAUCAGUUUAAUAUCUGAUACGUGGAUCAAUGGUUCACACGAUAUUAAAUUAAUUUUUUGAAGGGGUGAGUCCACCACAAUAGCUUGCUAUUGGGGCUCACGCGUGUCAUCCUUGUGUUGCACUACAGCAAGGUUUGGCGCACCCUAC